AUUGAACGCUGGCGGCAGGCCUAACACAUGCAAGUCGAACGAGUGGCGGACUGGUGAGUAAUGUCUGGGAAACUGCCUGAUGGAGGGGGAUAACUACUGGAAAAGGAAGCUAAUACCGCAUACCAUCGGAUGUGCCCAGAUGGGAUUAGCUAGUAGGUGGGGUAAAGGCUCACCUAGGCGGCGAUCCCUAGCUGGUCUGAGAGGGUGCCCAGCCACACUGGAACUGAGACACAGUCCAGAAUCCUACUGGAGGAAGCAGUGGGGAAUAUUGUACAAUGGGCCCAAGCCUGAUGCAGCUCUGCCGUGGGUAUGAAGAAGGCCUUCGGGUUUUAGAGUUAUUUCAGCUGGGAGACGUUACCAGCAGAAGAAGCACCGGCUAACUCCGUGCCAGCCGCCGCGGUAAUUC
rnacentral:rRNA from 1 species